AUGUCUGUCUGUCCCCUUUGCCUCGUCCUUCACAUCCUCUCUUUUAUUUUUGUUCUCUUCUAUUUCACUUUCACUUUCUCUAACUCCCUUUUUGCUGGGGUCUCAGCCUGCCCUCCACCUUGGAGGGAACACGGUGUCUCCCUCUGCUGCCCUAUGUCCUUCUGGAUAGCCUUCCACAGAAAACGGAGUCCAUUUGAAGAUGCUCUCCUUCUCCCAUGGGAAACCUCUGAGAUGCUCCAGAGAAAACAGGACACAAGGGUACCUGAGCUGGAAGCCGAGGACGGAGGUUGUCGUGGUCUUCCAAAGAAGGUUCUGAAAGAAGAAGAUGGGACUGCAUGGGAAUCCAGGGAUUUAUGCGACUCGAUCCUGCAUUUGUAAAAACAGUGUUAUUAUUCCUAGCCAUCUGACAGGGUCAUCGUGCAAGUCCCAGAAGUACUGUCUGUGGAAGUGAUUUGAAAAUGGCAAAGGGCUAAGAGGUGUCUCUUUUGGAGAAGCAGCCUGUGGCUGGGAGGUCACUGGGAUUGGACUUGAACAGUUGGGGAAGCCAUGUGCGUGCCUCCUCAGAGCCUCGGUUUUAUCACCUGGGAAGUGGAAACGAUAAUACCCACCU
rnacentral:lncRNA from 1 species